rnacentral:tRNA from 4 species
GCCGAGGUAGCUCAGUGGUAGAGCACUGGUCUGAAAAACCAGGUGUCGACAGUCCGAUUCUGUCCCUCGGCACCA